rnacentral:rRNA from 1 species
UACGAAGGGGGCUAGCGUUGUUCGGAAUUACUGGGCGUAAAGCGCACGUAGGCGGGUCGUUAAGUCAGGGGUGAAAUCCCAGAGCUCAACCUCUGGAACUGCCUUUGAUACUGGCGACCUAGAGUCCGGAAGAGGUUAGUGGAAUUCCCAGUGUAGAGGUGAAAUUCGUAGAUAUUGGGAAGACACCAGUGGCGAAGGCGGCUAACUGGUCCGGUACUGACGCUGAGGUGCGAAAGCGUGGGGAGCAACAGGAU